UGUUAAAAAUUUCAUCAUCUUAAAAACUGGUGUGGAUGAUAAAAUAAUCUAACAAUGAGACGUGGCAUGCCACGUGUACCUUAUGCUGAUGUACAAGAACCAGUUUUUAAUAGUAGAAAUAGAUGAAAUUUUUAAUA
rfam:Gossypium raimondii Chr01_contig_140, whole genome shotgun sequence.